rnacentral:rRNA from 1 species
AUACGAAGGUUGCAAGCGUUAAUCGGAAUUACUGGGCGUAAAGCGCGCGUAGGCGGUUUGUUAAGUCAGAUGUGAAAGCCCCAGGCUCAACCUGGUAACUGCAUUUGAAACUGGCAGGCUAGAGUGUGGUAGAGGGAAGUGGAAUUUCAGAUGUAGCGGUGAAAUGCGUAGAUAUCUGAAGGAACAUCAGUGGCGAAGGCGACUUCCUGGACCAACACUGACGCUGAGGUGCGAAAGCGUGGGUAGCAAACAGGAUUAGAAACCCUAGUAGUCC